GUGGUUCGCGAGGGAUAACAGGUUCAAGAAUCUUAAGAGCUGCUAUCAAAGGAUUCUGAAGUCACCUCAAUGUCGGCUCAUCU
rnacentral:rRNA from 1 species